AAAACUUUCAACAACGGAUCUCUUGGUUCUGGCAACGAUGAAGAACGCAGCGAAAUGCGAUAAGUAAUGUGAAUUGCAGAAUUCAGUGAAUCAUCGAAUCUUUGAACGCACAUUGCGCCCCCUGGUAUUCCGGGGGGCACGCCUGUUCGAGCGCCAUU
rnacentral:rRNA from 1 species